rnacentral:rRNA from 1 species
AUUGAACGCUGGCGGCAGGCUUAAUACAUGCAAGUCGAACGAGUGGCGGACGGGUGAGUAAUGCUUGGGAAUCUAGCUUAUGGAGGGGGAUAACUACGGGAAACCGUAGCUAAUACCGCGUACCAUAGGACGAGCCCAAGUGGGAUUAGGUAGUUGGUGAGGUAAAGGCUCACCAAGCCGACGCUCUCUAGCUGGUCUGAGAGGAUGACCAGCAACCCUGGAACUGGGACACGGCCCAAACUCCGACGGGAGGCAGCAGUGGUGAAGAUUACGAAAUGGGGGAAACCUGACGCAGCCAUGCCGCGUGAAUGAAGAAGGCCUUCGGGUUGUAAAGUUCUUUCGGUAGCGAGGCGUUAACUACAGAAGAAGCACCGGCUAACUCCGUGCCAGCAGCCGCGGUAAUUC